CACAAAAUCUGCUGUCCCAAAUCCUCCUCUUUCCCACUGGCCAGCAGCCUGAGGAGGAGCUGUGUACAGGUGCUCCAUCCCAGCUCUGACUUCUGCUGGAUAUUUCCAUAUUCCUGAUCUCCUUCUGGCAGCUGGGUGAGAAGGGAAUGACAUGGCCAAGGAGGGAUUGCCAGGGAGGGAUUACCAAGGUUCAAGCUGAAUCCCAAGGAGUCCUGUGUGUCACCUCUGCACCAGGGCCGUGUCUGGGGGGAGCCAGAACCGAGCAGAUCCUUUUCCAUUUCCACUCCUUUCCAGGGAGAGUUUUGCAGCCAGCCUGGGA
rnacentral:lncRNA from 1 species